GCGUUCUUGACCAGUGAAAGCGCGUGUUUAGGGUGGCGCUGACUGCCUUCAGCUUCCACGGAUAAUUUCUCAAAUCAGUGUACCUGUUUCCGAUCAGGAGAAUUAUGUUGUGGUAGCAGCAUGGCUCUGCAUGCACCAGCGCUGAAGAAAGAUAUCAUGGCGGUGUGCCAAUAUUUCAUGUGGGCCGGGGAUUACAUUCAACAGACAACAAAGUCUUGCAGGUCUUGCAAUGGCAUGAGAACUCGAACCCUGUCAUUGUGGUCUUCUCUCUGCAUCUCAAGUUCUCAGAUGUACAUGGCAAGCUACUGGACAAACUGGUAACAGCGGGAAAGCUGGAGAUAAGCAGUCAGUUGGUCAGCAUGAAAAGGAACGAUGUCACACCACCCUUUUUUAAAGAGGAAAUGCAGCAUAACACAAUUCUGGCUAUACAUAAUUUGCCAUGUUUUGCCAUUUUUAAGGCGAUGGGUUUACUCACUUUUUUUAAGUAAAGUCAAGUAUAAUCACUUUUUGCAGUGUAGCUGUUUUUCAAAUGUACUGCAUGACCGCUAGAACAGAAUGUUCUAUAUAAUAUGAAUGUGGAUAGUAUAAAUGGAACUCACCAACAUUUGUCAUUACCUAUAAGCACAAAGAAAUAAAAUCAUUUACUUUAGACAUCAG
rnacentral:lncRNA from 1 species